rnacentral:rRNA from 1 species
UACGUAGGGUGCAAGCGUUGUCCGGAAUUAUUGGGCGUAAAGAGCUCGUAGGCGGUCCGUCGCGUCUGCCGUGAAAACCCGGGGCUCAACCCCGGGCCUGCGGUGGAUACGGGCGGACUAGAGUCCGGUAGGGGAGACUGGAAUUCCUGGUGUAGCGGUGAAAUGCGCAGAUAUCAGGAGGAACACCGAUGGCGAAGGCAGGUCUCUGGGCCGGUACUGACGCUGAGGAGCGAAAGCGUGGGGAGCGCACAGG